rnacentral:misc_RNA from 1 species
GAGUUGCUUGUUGCGACGUUGAUCCGAUAAGGAUUCGCGCGCGAAUGGUAUGCCUCCCGCUUAGUUAAUUAAAAAAACCGUUACGAAGUGAAGAAGCAGAACAUCGCGAGUAAGAACUCCUGGCGAGAAUGUAUUCCGCCAGGUGUAAACAUCAGCUGCCCUGAACAACCAAGAUUUCUUUCUUCAAAACUUGAAGAGCAUCGUUUCGAACGAAUUUCCUUUGAGCU